CUUCCGCAGGCAGUUGCAGCAUUGCCUUAUUUGGAUUAUCACGGCUACCUACCAUAUGGAGCUCCACAGUUGCAAUAUCACCCACCUACGUACGUGUAUUUGCCACCAACAGACGAGCCGUAUGAGGGACCACCGGGAGAGAGAUUUGAGGACUGAAGAAUGCAGAGAAUAUGCUACAUGGAUUAUUCUGGACUAUGCCUUUGCCUCUGUUGUAUCUUUGGAUUGUAAUAAUUCUAAUGGACUUUGGAUGUAUUGCGUUCUAUGUGUGGACUUUGGACAUGAGUUAUGUGUAAUAAUUCUAAUGGACUUUGGAUGUAUUA